rnacentral:lncRNA from 1 species
UUAGGGUGCUAAAAUCCUCAUGUUAAAAGGAGUUUCAACGUGGAAAGGUAUUUGACACCUUAAUGCCCCAAAACACCACCUUGAGGACUCUAAGUGCACUUUUUGAUAAGAUCUUCACACCCCUUAAGAAGAGGGUGCUCAAAGAUUUUGAUGUGAGAAAAAGAAAAACAUUUUCUUAUGGGAAUAAGAAGCAGUUGGACUCCAAAAAUCUCAUGCCUCCCUCA